AUGAACGCUAGCUACAGGCUUAACACAUGCAAGUCGAGGGGCAGCAUUUUAGUUUGCUUGCAAACUAAAGAUGGCGACCGGCGCACGGGUGAGUAACACGUAUCCAACCUGCCGAUAACUCGGGGAUAGCCUUUCGAAAGAAAGAUUAAUAUCCGAUAGUAUAUUAAAACCGCAUGGUUUUACUAUUAAAGAAUUUCGGUUAUCGAUGGGGAUGCGUUCCAUUAGUUUGUUGGCGGGGUAACGGCCCACCAAGACUACGAUGGAUAGGGGUUCUGAGAGGAAGGUCCCCCACAUUGGAACUGAGACACGGUCCAAACUCCUACGGGAGGCAGCAGUGAGGAAUAUUGGUCAAUGGACGAGAGUCUGAACCAGCCAAGUAGCGUGAAGGAUGACUGCCCUAUGGGUUGUAAACUUCUUUUAUAUGGGAAUAAAGUAUUCCACGUGUGGGAUUUUGUAUGUACCAUAUGAAUAAGGAUCGGCUAACUCCGUGCCAGCAGCCGCGGUAAUACGGAGGAUCCGAGCGUUAUCCGGAUUUAUUGGGUUUAAAGGGAGCGUAGGUGGAUUGUUAAGUCAGUUGUGAAAGUUUGCGGCUCAACCGUAAAAUUGCAGUUGAAACUGGCAGUCUUGAGUACAGUAGAGGUGGGCGGAAUUCGUGGUGUAGCGGUGAAAUGCUUAGAUAUCACGAAGAACUCCGAUUGCGAAGGCAGCUCACUAGACUGCAACUGACACUGAUGCUCGAAAGUGUGGGUAUCAAACAGGAUUAGAUACCCUGGUAGUCCACACAGUAAACGAUGAAUACUCGCUGUUUGCGAUAUACAGUAAGCGGCCAAGCGAAAGCAUUAAGUAUUCCACCUGGGGAGUACGCCGGCAACGGUAAAACUCAAAGGAAUUGACGGGGGCCCGCACAAGCGGAGGAACAUGUGGUUUAAUUCGAUGAUACGCGAGGAACCUUACCCGGGCUUAAAUUGCAUUUGAAUAAUCUGGAAACAGGUUAGCCGCAAGGCAAAUGUGAAGGUGCUGCAUGGUUGUCGUCAGCUCGUGCCGUGAGGUGUCGGCUUAAGUGCCAUAACGAGCGCAACCCUUAUCUUUAGUUACUAACAGGUCAUGCUGAGGACUCUAGAGAGACUGCCGUCGUAAGAUGUGAGGAAGGUGGGGAUGACGUCAAAUCAGCACGGCCCUUACGUCCGGGGCUACACACGUGUUACAAUGGGGGGUACAGAAGGCAGCUACCUGGCGACAGGAUGCUAAUCCCAAAAACCUCUCUCAGUUCGGAUCGAAGUCUGCAACCCGACUUCGUGAAGCUGGAUUCGCUAGUAAUCGCGCAUCAGCCAUGGCGCGGUGAAUACGUUCCCGGGCCUUGUACACACCGCCCGUCAAGCCAUGAAAGCCGGGGGUACCUGAAGUACGUAACCGCAAGGAGCGUCCUAGGGUAAAACUGGUAAUUGGGGCU
rnacentral:rRNA from 1 species